rnacentral:tRNA from 1 species
UGGAUGUGUAGGCGGAAGCUAGCCGGUUAGAGCAUCUAACUGUUAAUUAGAGUUUUGUGGGAUCAAGGCCCAC